rnacentral:rRNA from 1 species
UACGUAGGGUGCGAGCGUUAAUCGGAAUUACUGGGCGUAAAGCGUGCGCAGGCGGUUUUGUAAGGCAGAUGUGAAAGCCCCGGGCUUAACCUGGGAAUGGCAUUUGGGACUGCAAGGCUUGAGUGCGGCAGAGGAGACUGGAAUUCCUGGUGUAGCAGUGAAAUGCGUAGAUAUCAGGAGGAAUACCGAUGGCGAAGGCAGGUCUCUGGGCUGACACUGACGCUCAUGCACGAAAGCGUGGGGAUCAAACAGG